UCCUUGGUGGCUCAGAUGGUAAAGAAUCUGCUUGCAAUGCAGAAGACUCAGGUUUGAGCCCUGUGUCAGGAA
rnacentral:tRNA from 1 species